GCGCGCGUGACCAAAAACGGCUCUCAGCGGGUCCCAGCUGACGGAAGGUGGGGGAGGAGUGCGAGGGUCUCUGAGACAGGUUGGGAGCCAGCCCCACCUCCAUUUCCAAAGCGGGGGUCCAGGCACAGGAACAGCCAAACGCCCGAACCAGCGGGGUUACCUUUGCCACUUCAUCCAAUCCGAGCAUCGGCUGGAAACUGGGAAGUUUGUCAGACAAAGCUCUUCAGGUUACUGGCAAUUUAUGUGCUGGGAGGUGGAUUUGUGGGCAGAGCUCCGGCUGACCUGGUGUUGUCCUGCUAUGGCUACAGACUUCUGACUAUGCUUAUCAGAAAAACUUUCAUUUGGUUCAAGGAUUUUUGCUGACAAGUUUAUUUAAUCCCUGAACCUGGAUCCAAGGCAUCUCCCUGUAGAAAACAUCAGACCGGGGCAGAGAUUGACAAAGCAACCCAAAGCAGCAGCUGCCAACGGCCGCUGUGCCCACCUCAUCAGCAGCUAAAGAGUAUAAUUUUAAAAAAAGUCACAGAAGAAUGUGGAGACACUUAGCAAAACGGACUCUCAUAAGAGUGUUCGAUGGUGCUGCUACUAAUGAAAGAUUUGAGGAAACUCCUAAGGUCCCUCCAGUGUACAACAAUUUGGAGGCUGAUGGACUACAUCCAUGGGGUACUUUGUCCUCUGGCUUCCAAUUAGAUUCAGACAACAGGAAGCAUCAACAGCUAAUGGGAGACGAAGAGGAAAAAUUGGGGUACCUAUUCCCCUAGAUUACUCCCUGCUGAUUGCUGCAGAGGGGCUUCAUCCUUGCCCUGGUUUCUGGAAAACACUCUUUCAUUGCCCAUGCAGGCCUAGGAGUGAUGAUGCCUCACUGGAUGGCAAAGUCUCUUAUUGGUUUCCCUAAAUCUUACUCACAACUUGUAGAUACUCCCUCUAUUAAAUCCUUUUCAGUUACCCAGUUUGAGUGUGCAGUCUCUUUCCUGAUAGACUUUUACUGAUAUAGUGUCCUUCUUGACCUUAGUUACAAAGUCAUUUUCAAAUCAAGUUCAUGUCUAAAU
rnacentral:lncRNA from 1 species